ACUCUUUGUGACCCCAUGGACUGCAGCCUACCAGGCUCCUCUGUCCAUGGGAAUUGCCAGGCAAGAGUACUGGAGUAGGGUGCCAUUGCCUUCUCCAUCUAACUUUGUGACUUAUCCUCAAAGGUUACAAAAUCUUGGCAUUUGCCAGUGACACGGACCGACCUGCAGAGCAGCAAGCAGGGUUGGAAGCACUUGCCAUGAACAGCUGUAUGACAUGCGCCUGCGUUC
rnacentral:sRNA from 1 species